rnacentral:rRNA from 1 species
GACGAACGCUGGCGGCGUGCCUAAUACAUGCAAGUCGAACGCAGUUGGGACGGGUGAGUAACACGUGGGUAACCUCCCAUCAGAGGGGAUAACACUUGGAAACAGGUGCUAAACCGAUACUGAUGGAUGGACACGCGGUGCAUUACCUAGUUGGUGAGGUAACGGCUCACCAAGGCGACGAUACAUAGCCGACCUGAGAGGGUGAUCGGCAACACUGGAACUGAGAAACGGCCCAGACUCCUACGUGAGGCAGCAGGAGGGAAUCUUCGGCAAUGGACGAAAGUCUGACCGAGCAACGCCGCGGGAGUGAAGAAGGUUUUCGGAUCGUAAAACUCUGUUGUUAGAGAAGCGGUAUCUAACCAGAAAGCCACGGCUAACUACGUGCCAGCAGCCGCGGUAAUUC